rnacentral:rRNA from 1 species
UGGGGAAUAUUGGACAAUGGGGGGCAACCCUGAUCCAGCAAUGCCGCGUGUGUGAAGAAGGUCUUCGGAUUGUAAAGCACUUUCGACGGGGACGAUGAUGACGGUACCCGUAGAAGAAGCCCCGGCUAACUUCGUGCCGGCAGCCGCGGUAAUACGAAGGGGGCUAGCGUUGCUCGGAAUGACUGGGCGUAAAGGGCGUGUAGGCGGUUUACACAGUCAGAUGUGAAAUCCCCGGGCUUAACCUGGGAGCUGCAUUUGAUACGUGUAGACUAGAGUGUGAGAGAGGGUUGUGGAAUUCCCAGUGUAGAGGUGAAAUUCGUAGAUAUUGGGAAGAACACCGGUGGCGAAGGCGGCAACCUGGCUCAUGACUGACGCUGAGGCGCGAAAGCGUGGGGAGCAAACAGGAUUAGAUACCCUGGUAGUCCACGCUGUAAACGAUGUGUGCUAGAUGUUGGGUAACUUUGUUAUUCAGUGUCGCAGUUAACGC